rnacentral:lncRNA from 1 species
GGAGGUGAUGGUGGAUUUUGUGGUGAAGGAGGCGUUGGUGGGCUUGAGUUGGUUGGUGGAGUAGAGGUGUCUAGUGGGCUUGAUGAAUCUGAUAUAUUGGAAGGAAAGACAGAAGGUGGCGGUAUUGGUAUGUGGGUUGGGAGAGCAGCAACUUGGUGGAGAAUAGAGGAGUCAAUAGGAACUAAAGCAGGGGAAGUGACGAGAGAGUUAGAAAUAGAAGGAAAAAUGGACUCGUUGAAAAUGACGUGACGAGAAAUGUAAAGUCGAAGUGAAGGAGAAUGAUAGUUUAAGUAACCUUUGUGGGAUGAAUUAUAUCUAAAAAAUAUGGAAGGAAGGGUGCCUAAUUGACAAGGUUCACAAAUAAUCGGCGAUUUAUUUGAGGAGAUCGGUAAAUAAAAAGAAGAUAUCACGCGAUGAAGAACUUCCGGAUAUGGAUGCGUCAUCAAUUGAUCUCAACCAUUUACGGUUGUCCAAACACCAGAGUAUGCUACAUGAGGAGAGGCAGCAGACCAAGUGAUCGGAUAGGAAAGACGGUAGAGACCAUUACUGUCGCCCCCCUUAAAAAAGGUUGACCCUGCAUGUUUUUAACGAUACAAUGAGUUGGUCACAAUUCAACACAAAUAUUGUUGCCACGAGUAGGCUUAGAAACACUUAAUAAACUUUUAGUAAGUUAUGGAACGACAUAAACAUUAGGUAACCGCAACUUAGAAAGAGAACUCAAGCCAAUAUGAGAAAUUGAUAAAUGGUUACCAUUCCCAACUUGGAGGUUGUUACUGUCGGUAUAAGCUUUGGCUAGAAAAAGUUUGUUAUAUCCCGAUUUUAGUGACAAAAUUUGAUUUAAGAAAUCCCUAAAUAUCCUUUAAAAAGUCGAAUAGAAUAACUUUAUGUUAAAUAAUAGUGUUAUUAUUAGUAUUACUACUAUGAUUGUUAUUAGAAUUAUUAUUAUUGUAUGAUUAGUUAAUAGUUACAAGCUUGUUUAAAUAAUAACUAUAGUUGAUGAGAAAUUAUUGGGAUCAAUUGAGCCAUUCAGAAUCAAUACUUAAUCAGACCGAACAGAUUGUGUACAUAAAAUCAGUUCUGGCCCAGCGGAGGAGCCAGUCUCAUAACUGAGAGGUCAACAGUUUGACUCCUGGCUUCAGCCUUGAUUUGUUUAUUUUUCAUUCAGCUCUCCCUCACAAAACGAUGCUGUAUAGAUAAGUGACACUGACGGGUGACAUGGCGAUGACGUGGGCGACGACGGCAGCAUCACCUUCCUUUCUUCUCUUCUCCAGCUCGACGGAUGUGCCGAUUUUCACAACGAGCAUGGUAGCCCUCCGAUCAAGCGAUCUCCCUCUAUUUAAUCCUCGAUUUCUUCAACUCUAAACCCUAAUCGACUCACUAAUACCUCUCCGCAUCCAAAGCUCGAGUUUCGAUCUUCAAAAGAGUGAAGACCUCAAUCUCCCCAACUCUGUUUCCGGUGAACCACGACGGCCGAACGUAGGUGACUCCCUGGGGCUGACAAGUCGUCUCUGGGUUAGAUUCGUUUCGAGGUAAGGGAUCGAUUAGCAGGCUAGCCGACUCCUUUUCUUGCUAAGAAACAGAUUGAAGCUUCAAUCUUUUCGAUCUAGGUUUCAAGUUCAUCUUCUCCGUCAAGCAAUGAUGUGGGAGACCGCAGAUCCGAAGAUACCAGUCGUCCGGGUCGUUCUAGGUCCUCAAGUUCGCGUUAUUGGCUCGUAUGAAGGUUAUGAAGUGAUUCAAUUUAAGUCCUUUCGAUUUGGUUGAGUUAUUAUUGCGUCUAAGGCUUCGCCGGAUUCUGGGUUUGAGCAGUCAACGACAACAGUCAAUGCGGAGGAUAAUUUCCCCUGACAGCCAUUGGAACUUUCAGUGAUCAUAAUUUGGUCGCUGGACUUUCAGUAUUGCAAAUCAGUACCUAAGUCUUUGUAAACUAUGUUACGAACUUGCGAUUAUAGAACUUUUAGAUUCUGACAGUUCAGUUUAUAAUUGUUAGUUGUCACUGUCGCGGGCUAUAACUUUCAGGUUGUAACAGAAUGUACCUAAAUAAUUUGCUAAGUAAUUAAAUCUAGUACAAAAUUUGAUUAAUUA